CUGCCCUCAAGCCCGGCUUGUGUGUUGGGUCCUCGUCCCCCCGGGGGACGGGCCCGAAAGGCAGCGGCGGCACCGCGUCCGGUCCUCGAGCGUAUGGGGCUUUGUCACCCGCUCUACAGGGCCGGCCGGCGCUUGCCGACCUCAACCAUUUUUUCUCA
rnacentral:misc_RNA from 1 species